rnacentral:rRNA from 1 species
GAAGUAGGCGGAAUAUGACAUGUAGCGGUGAAAUGCUUAGAUAUGUCAUAGAACACCGAUAGCGAAGGCAGCUUACUAAGUUAGUAUUGACGCUAAUGCACGAAAGCGUGGGGAGCGAACAGGAUUAGAUACCCUGGUAGUCCACGCCGUAAACGAUGAUUACUCGCUAUUGGCGAUAUACUGUCAGUGGCUAAGCGAAAGUGAUAAGUAAUCCACCUGGGGAGUACGAUCGCAAGGUUGAAACUCAAAGGAAUUGACGGGGGCCCGCACAAGCGGUGGAGCAUGUGGUUUAAUUCGAUGAUACGCGAGGAACCCUACCAGGUCUUAAAUGCAUAACGAACAGUUGGGAAACCAACCUUUCUUCGGACGGAAUGCAAGGUGCUGCAUGGUUGUCGUCAGCUCGUGCCGUGAGGUGUCAGGUUAAGUCCUAUAACGAGCGCAACCCCUAUUCUUAGUUGCCAGCGGUUCGGCCGGGGACUCUAAGAAAACUGCCAGUGCAAGCUGUGAGGAAGGUGGGGAUGACGUCAAAUCAUCACGGCCCUUACGACCUGGGCCACACACGUGCUACAAUGGUAGGUACAAAGGGCAGCCACUUGGCGACAAGGAGCUAAUCUCUAAAACCUAUCUCAGUUCGGAUUGGAGUCUGAAACUCGACUCUAUGAAGCUGGAAUCGCUAGUAAUCGCGCAUCAGCCAUGGCGCGGUGAAUACGUUCCCGGGCCUUGUACACACCGCCCGUCAAGCCAUGGAAGCUGGGAGUACCUGAAGUCGGUAACCAUAUAGGAGCUGCCUAGGGUAAAACUAGUAACUGGGGCUAAGUCGUAACAAGGUAGCCGUA